CUCUUGCUGUUGGCAGGGUUUCUGUCUCACUGCUCUGAAGCAUACAAAGUCCUUCUGAAAGCAGUGACUGUCGCUGCUCUCAGCCUUAAAGCAAAAAUUCAUUUGUAUGUUCUUGACAGGUUUUAGUAGUUACAGUGUUUGAUAAAUAAGGUUAAAAAAAUAGCAUGGCUAGAAACUUUUCCUUCCCCCAAAUUUGACUAAUUAUUAACACAACGGUUAAGUAAAUUCAAAUGUAGCAAAUAAACCCUGUAAUCCUCCAUAGUUUCAGAACUAUUUAAUAUACACUGUUCUUUCUGGCAAAGAACAAUUGUUAGAGGAAAAAUAGAGUGUACUUCACGUUGGGAGAGCAGGAUUUUUCAUCAAUAAAAGCCUGAGAACAUAGAAUUUACACAGAAGGAACUCUGGGACUGGAAACAGUGUGCAGUAGCAGUGUUACCAAAUAUGGGAGAAUCUGCAACCACUCUGGACCUGUAUCUCUGCACUGGGAAUGCAUAACAUAAAUGAAUUUCUUUUAAAUUUACUUUUUUUUGUUUGUUAUUCCAAUGGAGGAAAAUAAACAGUUCCCUUAUCCGUAGGGUGGUAGCAAGCCCUAACAAGGAAAAGCAGGGCACAUUCCUUCCUUCCUUCCUUUAUAACCAGUCACUGAAUUGCUCCCAACACAUUCCAGAUCUGGUAGAAUAGCUUAAUUGUCUUCACCUGGAGGCCACUGCCUGAAUUCCUGUCAGUUAAUAUAGCACCUCUGGAGUGAGACACUACGAUGUCUUUCUGAUGAAAGUGGGUUAAGCACCCAGCCCCAUGGUCAUGAGCAGUUUCAUAGGCUCAUUUGCAUAUGAAGAUUUAUGAGUUUCUUGGGUGUAACUGUGCCUAUAAAAGUUCGAGUCUAUAAGUGUCAUCAAACGUAAUUACUCCCUAAAGACUUAGAACAGAUACGAGAAAGAUGAAGAACUGUUUAUUGUAAUAAGUUGUGGUUAUGAGUGAAAUCUUUAAUUGCUUCCUUGCAAUGAAAGGUCUGCAUGGAGAAGGGAGUGUUGCUGGUUUGCUUUCACUGGUGUUGAAAAAGGUAAAUUUCUGUAACAAUUCAUGAUCAGGCGUGCAGUGUUAUUCCACAAGGCAGCUGAAAUUUUGCAAAGCUAUUCAGACAAUAAAAAAUUAUUGUCACAAAACAUUGUCAACCAGUAUUCUGGGUCAAAAUUUCUCAUUUCUGUAGUUACCAUUCACACAGAAUGUCAAGAGGGGUCUCAAGAUUCAAAUCCUAAAUGAGUAGUAAACCAAAAUAUUUAUACUUUUUUCCAAUUAGACAGUUAGACUAGAAACAUGAAAAUAUGUAACUGUAGGAACUCAAAACUAGUAGUUUUUCCUUCUUAUGCACUUGUUCUAUUCCUACCAUAUUUUAUGAAGUAUUUUGUAAUACAAUUUAAAAGCUCACUUGUGUUGCCUGAUUCUGCUCUCAGUGAAGUGAAACAUUCAUGUUGUUAUAGAUAAAAACUCUGGAAUAGAAUUGAAAACAGUUGUUUCCCUGAAAAUAUUUUUUCUUUGUGUAAAGAACUUAUUAUACCACAGGAAAGGAAUGGAAUACCUGUUUCUCAGGUGUCAUGUGCCAAUAUGCUUCUUCAUUACUCCCAAAACUACUGAAACAUUACCCAAAGUAGACCAGCAUUAGACUGGUUUACUAUUAUGAUAGCAGAAGGAAUAUGCUAAUUUAAUUAAUCUUUGGGAAAUUAAACUAAAAGAGAUCUGUAGAUCAUUAGCUCCAUAGUUGGACUACUGAAAUUAUUUUUGCACAAUGUGUUUUACAGGUAUUCCUGAAAAUCAAAGUUAUGAAGGCAAAGAGGACUAUGCUGUUUCAUCAGCAAUAAGCUCCUACUGUACAGAUGUUCACUUUAGCUGUAACUAGUCCACAGUCACCCCUAUACACAUAUGAGAUUUGAGAAUGAAGAUCAGAUGAGUAAAGAAAAUAGCAAACCCACCUGUAGAAUUUAAAUUAUCUGUCAAAUGUAGAUAUUGCCGGCCAUUCUGUACAUCAGAAUUCCCUGUAGCAUUUGGUUUUUUUAACUCAACUCGAGCAGCAGCUGAGUCAUGUACAAAUCUAACCCUGUGGCACCAUCCUGUGGCACACCUGGCACUUGCACGGCUCUUGUCUGCUCUUCCAGCUGCUGUUACCUGCCUGUGACUGUUCCACCAGCAGUGGUGGAGCAGAGGAUGGUGUGGAGCUUUAGUUUCAUGUCUCUUUCUGUGGCUAAGUAUCACAUUGGCUACUCUAGCAAAGUUUCACCUUGUUCUUGGGAAAGUGAUUUGAAGGGAAGGGAGUUUUCCCUACUCUCCUAAAGUUGAUUCAAAUAUACUAGUAUAUUAAUACAAAUUUAUAGUAUAAAUACAAAUAAAAUACAGAAUUGGGAGAUAUGUAUUUGAAGAAGAAAUACUCAGAUAGGCUGUAAAUAUUCGUUCAGUAAUUCUGAAAAAAAAUAGAAUAAGAUGACUGUGGGAUUGGUUCUGUGGGAAAUAUUGCCAGUAGACUCAGGGUGGUAUAUAACUGGAGAACAGGUAAUACGGCAUCUGGCUGUAAAAGGAAGGGAGAGAAGUGAUUCACGUCUCAAAAGUCCCUGAUUUUGAGUUGUCUGCAAUAAUUUAAAGCAAAUAGUGAAGUGGUGAAUAAUCAGAAUACACAAGAUUAUAUUUGAUUUAGCUGGACUUUCCUCAAAAAUAAUCUGAGGAAAUUGAUUGAUUUUCUAGGCAAAGACAAUGGGACACACUUUAUGGAAAUGAACCUUAAUAAAACACAUUAUAUGGUGCCACUCAGAAAUUUAUUAAGCUGAGAAAGCUGAUAAUUGUUAUAAGGAUUACAGUACAGCCAAGGAACUGGGUAAAAGCAGUAAGAUACUGAAUGAUUUUUAAUCAUGAAUCCAAUAUAGUCAUUAGUGACCUCACAUAAAUGGUACCAGUGCUCUGUUGACAAAAAUAAAAUUAGAAGAUAUCAUUAAUAUGAUGCAGAAAAAAAUGGUUGAUUCCAAGAAGUGGAAGUAUUGCAUUAUGUUGGAGGAGACUGUGUAGCUUUAAGGCAAAUCUUAGAUCACUUUAAUCAUUAUUCUCA